rnacentral:tRNA from 1 species
GUCAGGAUGGCCGAGCGGUCUAAGGCCCUGUGUUCAGGGCGCAGUCUCGUAAGAGGCGUGUGUUCAAAUCCCACUUCUGACA